rnacentral:rRNA from 1 species
GAGCGGUAGCACAGGGAGCUUGCUCCUGGGCGACGAGCGGCGGACGGGUGAGUAAUGUCUGGGAAACUGCCUGAUGGAGGGGGAUAACUACUGGAAACGGUAGCUAAUACCGCAUAACGUCGCAAGACCAAAGAGGGGGACCUUCGGGCCUCUUGCCAUCAGAUGUGCCCAGAUGGGAUUAGCUAGUAGGUGGGGUAAUGGCUCACCUAGGCGACGAUCCCUAGCUGGUCUGAGAGGAUGACCAGCCACACUGGAACUGAGACACGGUCCAGACUCCUACGGGAGGCAGCAGUGGGGAAUAUUGCACAAUGGGCGCAAGCCUGAUGCAGCCAUGCCGCGUGUAUGAAGAAGGCCUUCGGGUUGUAAAGUACUUUCAGCGAGGAGGAAGGCAUUGUGGUUAAUAACCACAGUGAUUGACGUUACUCGCAGAAGAAGCACCGGCUAACUCCGUGCCAGCAGCCGUGGUAAUACGGAGGGUGCAAGCGUUAAUCGGAAUUACUGGGCGUAAAGCGCACGCAGGCGGUCUGUCAAGUCGGAUGUGAAAUCCCCGGGCUCAACCUGGGAACUGCAUUCGAAACUGGCAGGCUAGAGUCUUGUAGAGGGGGGUAGAAUUCCAGGUGUAGCGGUGAAAUGCGUAGAGAUCUGGAGGAAUACCGGUGGCGAAGGCGGCCCCCUGGACAAAGACUGACGCUCAGGUGCGAAAGCGUGGGGAGCAAACAGGAUUAGAUACCCUGGUAGUCCACGCCGUAAACGAUGUCGACUUGGAGGUUGUUCCCUUGAGGAGUGGCUUCCGGAGCUAACGCGUUAAGUCGACCGCCUGGGGAGUACGGCCGCAAGGUUAAAACUCAAAUGAAUUGACGGGGGCCCGCACAAGCGGUGGAGCAUGUGGUUUAAUUCGAUGCAACGCGAAGAACCUUACCUACUCUUGACAUCCAGAGAACUUAGCAGAGAUGCUUUGGUGCCUUCGGGAACUCUGAGACAGGUGCUGCAUGGCUGUCGUCAGCUCGUGUUGUGAAAUGUU